rnacentral:rRNA from 1 species
AGUGAACGCUGGCGGUAGGCCUAACACAUGCAAGUCGAACGGCCGCACAGUAAGAGCUUGCUCUUACGGGUGGCGAGUGGCGGACGGGUGAGGAAUACAUCGGAAUCUACUUUUUCGUGGGUGAUAACGUAGGGCCACUUACGCUACUACCGCAUACGACCUACGGGUGAAAGCAGUGGUUCUUCGGACCUUUCGCGAUUGAUUGAGCCGAUUUCGGAUUAGCUUGUUGGCGGGGUAAAGGCCCACCAAGGCGACGCUCCGUAGCUUGUCUGAGAGGAUGAUCAGCCCCACUGGAACUGAGACACGGUCCAGACUCCUACGGGAGGGAGCAGUGGGGAAUAUUGGACAAUGGGCGCAAGCCUGAUCCAGCCAUAGCGCGUGGGUGAAGAAGGCCUUCGGGUUGGAAAGCCCUUUUGUUGGGAAAGAAAAGCAGCAGGUUAAUACCCCGCUGGUCUGACGGUACCCAAAGAAUAAGCACCGGCUAACUUCGUG